rnacentral:tRNA from 1 species
ACCCGGUUAGCUUAAUGGUCAAGUUCCAGCUCUAACUAAGCGGGGGAUCCGGGUUCGAGUCCCGGGCCGGGUG